ensembl:misc_RNA Metazoa_SRP Metazoan signal recognition particle RNA
GCCAGGUGUGGUGUUGCGCACCUGUAAUCCUAGCUACUCAGGAGGCUGAGACAGAAGAAUCGCUUGAACCCAGGAGGUGGAGAUUGCAGUGAGCCGAGGUCGUGCCACUGCACUCCAGCCUGGGUGACAGAGCAAGACUCUGUCUCAA